UACGUAGGUGGCAAGCGUUAUCCGGAUUUAUUGGGUGUAAAGGGAGCGUAGACGGCAGGGCAAGCCUGGAGUGAAAGGCGGGGGCCCAACCCCCGGACUGCUCUGGGAACUGUGUAACUGGAGUGCAGGAGAGGUAAGCGGAAUUCCUAGUGUAGCGGUGAAAUGCGUAGAUAUUAGGAGGAACACCAGUGGCGAAGGCGGCUUACUGGACUGUAACUGACGUUGAGGCUCGAAAGCGUGGGGAGCAA
rnacentral:rRNA from 1 species